GUCCACGCCGUAAACGAUGUCGACUAGCCGUUGGGCCCUUAUAGGGUUUAGUGGCGCAGCUAACGCAUUAAGUCGACCGCCUGGGGAGUACGGCCGCAAGGUUAAAACUCAAAUGAAUUGACGGGGGCCCGCACAAGCGGUGGAGCAUGUGGUUUAAUUCGAUGCAACGCGAAGAACCUUACCUACCCUUGACAUCCAGAGAAUCUGUUAGAGAUAGCGGAGUGCCUUCGGGAGCUCUGAGACAGGUGCUGCAUGGCUGUCGU
rnacentral:rRNA from 1 species